rnacentral:rRNA from 1 species
UAGUCCACGCCGUAAACGAUGAUUACUGGUUGUUUGCGAUAUAUUGUAAGCGACUGAGCGAAAGCAUUAAGUAAUCCACCUGGGGAGUACGUUCGCAAGAAUGAAACUCAAAGGAAUUGACGGGGGCCCGCACAAGCGGAGGAACAUGUGGUUUAAUUCGAUGAUACGCGAGGAACCUUACCUGGGCUCAAACGUUAGUGACCGCAGUCGAAAGAUUGCUUCCCUUCGGGGCACGAAACGAGGUGCUGCAUGGCUGUCGUCAGCUCGUGCCGUGAGGUGUCGGGUUAAGUCCCAUAACGAGCGCAACCCCUAUCACUAGUUGCCAGCGAGUCAAGUCGGGGACUCUAGUGAGACUGCCACCGUAAGGUGUGAGGAAGGUGGGGAUGACGUCAAGUCAGCACGGGCCCUUACGUCCAGGGGCUACACACGUGUUACAAUGGUCGGGUACAGAGGGGCA